ensembl:lncRNA
AGAAAUGCCACAAGAGUUUUUUGUUCAAACAAAUGUAUUCUCUGAAUGAACCGUAGGUGGCAGCAGAACGCCGAAAGGCCUGUAGAUCACCAGUAACUAAUAAAAGAAGAAGUAGCUCAUCGUGCAUCAGCAUGGACCCGUGGACGUAUCAUAGAACCACCAGAGGUUGUAGUUCCGUCUAACUUCAUGAAGGCGUUGGUUCUCGGAUGGAAGCGGAACACUGCCUACCUGCCGACUACAAAGGUUGGACAAUGAAGGGUAAAUCCAAGGUAAUAAAGCAAUUGGAGUUGGCUGGUAUUUCACCAUGUCCACGCUACACUGAUGUAGUAUGGACAGUACAAGGAAGCUGGCUGCAUGGUCGACUGGUGGAUAUGUGAACUAGCUCCACAAACCUGGACUUCGGCCAGUUUGUCCAAUGGAGGCCAUUGUUGAGACAUGGGAGUUGAUGCUGCGGUGAGAUCUUCCCAGUUUGAAAACCAUCCACAUUUGUUGGUGUCUUGGCGCUGGUGUCCAGAGACUACUUCUACUCCAACCAAGGUGGGUGUGAGAAGACUGGGUGCUACUGCAGGGGUCCAGUCAAACCUUUUUCAAUAGGAGUAAUGUGCCACCUAACUGAACAUUUUAGGGGGCGCAUCUAGGGAUGCACCGAUUGUGAAAUUCUGGGCAGAUGCCGAUGUUUACGAUAACAAUUUGACCAAUAGCCGAUACCGAUGUUUUUUUGUUUAAUUAUUCCCACUUUUGUGCCAGGGAAACAAACCCUAACCCCCCACAAACGACACGUACCUCGUAUACAAGCAUACACAAGGACGCAGGGAGAGGCUUUUACGCUUUAAUGAAAUCAAUCCCGUUUAUUUCAACAACUGCGCCAUCAACAUUCAACAUCAAAAUUAUUUCAAUGUGGGCGUAGGUAGAUAGGCCUACAUGCGGCGAAGAUCGCUGUUUAUUUUACUGAACACAGCCUGCAUGACACUGAACUAGACACGUCUUUAGCAUAUGGAAACUAUGGCCAAAAAAAUUACUUCAGUGACUUUUUACAAUUUAGUUGUAUGGACGCUGUCGGACACGGGUGGGGGUCGGGUCGGUUGCCUCAAAACCGCGUGUUUUGCGAUUGUGAGCGAGACUUCUCCGGUGCUGGAUAUGUUUUUCAGGAGCGGAGGAGUCAACUAAAACCAUCACACGUGGCUGAUGUGCCUUUUUGCACAGCAAUAUGAAGCACCGCGCCAAACACCAGAUGGGUGUAAUUCCCCGACGUUCCAUCUAUUGCGUCUAAUUGUCCUUCGGGGUGCGGGUCGGGCGUCUAUCAGUUUAUAGCAGGUCGGGUGCGGUAUGUAAUUCGUGCAGCUGUCAGAACAAGGGUCCGAUGCGGUUUUAAGUAUUGCGGAUUCGGGUGGACACGGAUUUGCAAAUUAAGACCCUGGCGUGCAGGACUCUCACUGGCAUUGGCACACAGUAGCCGCAGGUCGGAAGAACGAGUCAAUAGUUGGCUUGCUCAUUGUUCAAACGCACGUAGCAGGUAUUGAAUUUUUCUCCUUCUCGGACGUUUAGGCACGUUUGAUUUAGCCGCUUCUCUAGGACCCUCCCCCUCCUCACAUUGGCCACUAACGGUGGCCAUUCCCCAUCCUUCUCACGCUCAUUGGCCUGCUCCAGAUAUCGGAUUUAUCGUCGCAUCCCUUCCACGUGUAACGUGUUAAAAUAAAAAAGGGCAAAUUUACUGGACGCACACGCGUGACCAGAUGUAAAAUUCAUUCGCACUCAAACUUAAGUCGCAAAGUGCGACCAGUUGGUCAGUCUGGAGCCCUGUGCUGCAUGUAUGCAGUUGUUAAUGGCUGUAAUUUGAAUGCAUUUAGUUUCAUUAGUGAUGACACCCAAGGUGAACCCACUGGUGCCAAGGCAGCAAGGGGAUAACCUGUUGUGGUUGCAAAUGUCUGAAUGGUGUCUCUAUAGAACUGU